UGGGGAAUCUUGCGCUAAUGCGGGAAACCGUGACGCAGCGACGCCGCGUGAGGGAAGAAGGCCUUCGGGUUGUAAACCUCUUUCAGGAGGGACGAAGCUACUCGGGUGAAUAGCCCAGAGGGUGACGGUACCUCCAGAAGAAGCCCCGGCUAACUACGUG
rnacentral:rRNA from 1 species